rnacentral:lncRNA from 1 species
UUGUGAGUCACAUCUUGAUCUGUAGAGGAGCUGGGUCACGUGCAUUGUCACAUACUGCACUUGCCUUUCCCUUUGCUACUGUGGCAAACUGUAACAUUUGAAAGCCAAAUUCUGAGAUGCCAUCAUUUAAAUGACUUAUAUGUUAACAUCCACAACUUCAAAUUAACAUCACUGGCAGAACUGGAGGAAAACCCUGGAGAACCCAAUGCCACAGCUACUGACAGGCUGUGAGGAUGACAUCUGUCUCCCUCUGUUCCUGGCAGCAAGGAUUUGCGGUCUCUUACUUCUAUGAGAGGACUCUGCUUUGGUUUGCUGCUCAUGGCGAGGAGUUCUGCAAAGCACAGAUGUGGCUGGCAAAGUGGGGAACAAAGCUUGGGUAGAGGAGAUAACACAGCAGCCUUUCAGUUGUCCUGAAGGAACCAGUUAUGGCCUGACUGUGUGUCAGUGGGGUGCCUGCUGUAGUCUGCCUGGCACUGCAGGUAUCCACCAGCAAUCUUCACUGCUUCCCAAAGCUGCUGCUGUGAUGUUAAAUACAUUGGUUUCUGACUUGGCAAUGUCUUAACUUCCCAAAGUGAAAAACAGUGCAUAUUCCCAGUGUGUCUUCAAUUCAAGCAGGCCAUAAGGAACAUCUCUGUAGCCCAGUAGUGGGAUCUUCCAUAGGAAGCACAGCCCUUUAGCAC